GAGAGCCCGGUACUCGCAGACGAGUACGCCGGGUUCGGUGAGCGGCAGGGAGAAACGGGCCGGUGGCAACACUGGCACCGCGCUCCGUACCGACUCGAC
rnacentral:ncRNA from 1 species